rnacentral:rRNA from 1 species
UGCCAUCCGCCGCGGUUAUACGGAGGGUGCAAGCGUUGUCCGGAUUUAUUGGGUUUAAAGGGUGCGUAGGCGGUAUUAUAAGUCAGUGGUGAAAUCUUGCGGCUCAACCGUAAAACUGCCAUUGAUACUGUAGUACUUGAGUUCGUUCGAGGUGGUUGGAAUGCGUAGUGUAGCGGUGAAAUGCAUAGAUAUUACGCAGAACACCGAUUGCGAAGGCAGAUCACUGGGACGAUACUGACGCUGAUUCACGAAAGCGUGGGGAGCGAACAGGAUUAGAUA